UACGUAGGAGGCGAGCGUUGUCCGGAAUUACUGGGUGUAAAGCGCGCGUAGGUGGGAGGCCAAGUCUGUGGUGAAAGCGCCCGGCUCAACCGGGGCAUGGUCCAUGGAAACUGGUCACCUGGAGGACGGUAGAGGCGAGUGGAAUUCCCCGGUGUAGUGGUGAAAUGCGUAGAGAUCGGGAGGAACACCAGUGGCGAAGGCGGCUCGCUGGGCCGGUCCUGACACUGAGGCGCGAAGGCGUGGGGAGCGAACGGG
rnacentral:rRNA from 1 species